rfam:Eutrema salsugineum unplaced genomic scaffold scaffold_3, whole genome shotgun sequence.
AUACCUUUCUUGGCCUUUUGGCUAAGAUCAAGUGUAGUAUCUGUUCUUAUCAAUUUAAUAUCUGAUAUUCGGUCCAAUGUGGGUUUGACGAUAUUAACUUUAUUUUUAAUGGGGGAGAGUCCGUUGCAUCAGCUUGCUGAUUGGACUCCCACGUGUCGCCCACGUCUUGCACUGCUGCGAGGGUCUGGCACACCUCAC